UCAUUCAUUAAAAAAAUAUUUAUUAACUACUACUCAGGAGGCUGAGGCAUGAGAAUUGCUUGAACCUGGGAGGCGGAGGUUGCAGUGAGCCGAGAUUGUGCCUGGACGAUGGAGUGAGAUGCUGUCUCAAAAAAACACAAAAUGUUUAUUCAGGUCCUACUUGGUGCUAUGCUCUGUGAUAGACACUAGAGAUGCCGUCAUGAACAAGAUAAACAUCUCUGCUCUCAGGAGUUCAUAGUCUGAAAAAGACAGAGAAGAUUAUUCUAGGCACCUGAAUAGAACAGCCAGCCAGGAUGGCUUGUUCCUGCUCUCCUAUGCUUCUAUCAUUGGCAGUAAACUUGUGCAAACACUGGGAUCCCUGGAUACCAUGCUUCCUCCUCCAGUGCAACUUAUCCAAAGGGUUCAGACCCUGAGAUGGCUCAUUCCUUCUUAGUCACAAAGGAGAAAACUCAGGAGAUGUUUGUCAACAAAGAGUUGAAGGCAGCUUGUUGUGAUCCAAGGCAGAUGAUUAUUUACAGCGGUAAGACCUCUAAACUUGGCUUUCUUCACUUACUAGUUGCAUGACGCUGA
rnacentral:lncRNA from 1 species